UGUUUGCAAAAUGCGCACAGGAGGCUGUUCCAUUAAUAUUUUACAUUUUCCGUCAGCUGGAAUUAUGCAAUCAAAACAAAGCAGUAUCAGAAUGCGGCACAGUGAUUAAGCGUGCCGAUUUCUAGUUUGUUUUUUUCAAGAACCUCAGUUUCGAGUUUAUUUAUAACACAAUGAGAAGAUAUUCAACGGGAACGUUGCUUCGAUUUCCGCUAAUAUUUGGAGGAAUAUUGGCAGGAUUUGGCUUGGCAUUUUACCAUCGGGAAAAAUUUAUGACGGAUCUGGAAGCUCAAAGAAAGGAACUGGAUCGAACGGAUCUAGAGUCACAGCAAAUACUUAUUGAAACCCUAGAUAACAUAAAUAAAGCCAAAAUAGCCAAACGGCAAUAAAUAUGAAAA